GCUUACGGCCAUACCAGCCCAUGAACAGCCCGGUCUCGUCUGAUCUCGGAAGCUAACAAGGCUUGGGCCUGGUUAGUACUUGAUGGGAGACCUCCUGGGAAUACCAGGUGCUGUAAGCU
ensembl:rRNA 5S_rRNA 5S ribosomal RNA